rnacentral:ncRNA from 2 species
ACUUGUUCUCAGGGCGGGGCGAAAUUCCCCACCGGCGGUGUUCCAAACUUUUGGAGAGCCCGCGAGCGCUCCCAGGUGGGAGGUCAGCAGAUUUGGUGAAAAGCCAAAGCCGACGGUGAAAGGCCGGAUGGAAGAGGAUAAGG